rnacentral:rRNA from 1 species
UACGUAGGGCGCAAGCGUUGUCCGGAAUUAUUGGGCGUAAAGAGCUCGUAGGCGGUUUGUCGCGUCUGUCGUGAAAGCUUGGGGCUUAACCCCAAGUCUGCGGUGGAUACGGGCAGGCUAGAGGCAGGUAGGGGAGAACGGAAUUCCCGGUGUAGCGGUGAAAUGCGCAGAUAUCGGGAGGAACACCGGUGGCGAAGGCGGUUCUCUGGGCCUGUACUGACGCUGAGGAGCGAAAGCGUGGGGAGCGAACAGG